CCGAUGAAAGACGUGGUAAGCUGCGAUAAGCCUUGGGGAGGAGCAAACAUCCUUUGAUCCAGGGAUUUCUGAAUGAGGAAACUCACUGAAGCUCAUACUUCAGUAUCCUGCACUGAAUCCAUAGGUGCAGGAGGGGAACCGCCUGAACUGAAACAUCUAAGUAGGGCGAGGAAGAGACAUCAACCGAGAUUCCGUUAGUAGUGGCGAGCGAACGCGGAAGAGGGCAAACCGGAAGGAGAAAUCCUUCCGGGGUACGGACCGCUUUUAGGACCCAAGCUGUUAGCCGAAUGGUGUGGGAAAGCCAUCCGGAGAGUGUGAGAGACACGUAGGCGAAAACGGCGAGGGCUGCGCGAGUUCCAGAGUACGGCCAGACACGUGAAACCUGGUCGGAAGNNNNNNNNNNNNNN
rnacentral:ncRNA from 1 species